UCCACAGGAAAUACCCCUGCAUGUUUUUCCCUGAAAAUUCUGGGGUUUUAGCUAUCUAAUGCCAUACUUUCUCUCCCUUUCCUAUCAGCUUCUAGAUGGUGUUCCUCUUCCCACUUAGAUUUCUCAGAUGACAGUCUGGCACUAGUCCCCAGUGUUCCCCAGGCUGCGGGGACAUAUAACAGUCUCCCCAGGUGGUUCCUUGGAGCCCUCUUGCCAGAAAUGAUAAAAGAGUACCAGUUUGUACAUUUCACAUAAGUGAGAAGGUUUAAGAAUGAGCAAAAAUAAAAAUUUACACAGAUUUUACUACAAAUUCUAAAGGUUGAUAUUUUUCACAGCUAUCUUUGUUAUCUGAUGUCUGUCUUUAGUCUCAGCAGAAAUUUUUAUCUUAAUAUUCCUUUACAUACUCAACCAUCCAAUCAGGCAAUUCAAAUUUAAAUAAAGUGGUAUCUUCACUUUCACCUCUGUGCACUGAGGUGGCCAAAUCUGAAGAUUGAUAAAUUUUACAUCAUCUUAAAUUUUAUAUUCUUCAAUUUAGGGUGAGCCAAGACCCUGGCUGCAGUGUCACCAGAUGCAUGUGAACUUUAGUUGUCCAAUCAUGCACCUCAUCCUCAUACAGCUACCUUAAGUGGGAACACAUAUAUCAUAAACAUGAGCGUUUGAAGCCCGAAAAGUUUGACCUUCCUUCUAAAAACAAACUUGUUUGUUUUCCACCCUGCAGAAAAGCGCCAAUAAUCAGGAGCUACCGAAUGAAAGCAGGCUCAGAUCUCCAGCUACAGAAAAUAGGAUCAAGGAAGAUGCAGCCUAUCAAUUAAGGUCUGGUGCUAAAAUAAUAAUAAACUAG